rnacentral:lncRNA from 1 species
UGGAGUGGAGGAGGGGUGAAAAUUCUUAGGAAAAUCUGCAGACCCCAAAUGCUUGAAAAUACUUCCAAGAUGUCAACUGGCUAUGCUGCAAGUCCUGCUGGCCUGAAUCAAUUCUGAGCCCAGCUGACCUUUGCUUUCUGGAGAUGAGAUUGUCAAAUUGUGUAGACAGUGUUCAAAUGGAUCAUUCAUUAUUAGCAGCACCACCAAGUUGAAAACCUACUUUUUCUGGUCUGCAGCUGAUUGAUGUACAUUACUCAUAUCAGGCUAAUGGCACUUUAUUUUCCAACAGUAGCAAGUAAUGAGUGACCUUGAGUGCAUAUUGUUUUCCUGAAAGGGUUUGUUGCUCUGCUUCCUUCAUAAGCACCCCAAGGAAACAAGGCCUCUGUAUUGGUGUUUUGCAGCAAACCUCAUUUCUUUCAUGGCUUUCUGUAAAAGAAUUUGAUACAGGGAUAGAAGCUAACCUCAGUGAGUAAAUGAAAUAUUGAUCCAUGCUACUCUGGCCUUGCCUUCACCUUGUCCCAGGGCGGUGAGUUACUGACUUUUCCGUUUUGGCUGUAAUAGGAAUUAUUACAACAGGCCUGUGCAAGUAAUUACUUGGCAUGGUAAAAAAGGAGGGUCCAUCAUAUAUUUCUGUAGAGAUGUUAGUUCCCAUCAGCCCAGCAGUCUGCUUUUUUGGCUCUGUCUUUCCUACUCUUGAUUCAAUUCUUUUAACCAUCAUUAAUCACACUCCUUGUCAGCAGAAGUUUAUCAAAAGUAUUAAGUGAGCAAGGUUGCCUGGCCUCCUUAAAAAAAAUCAGCCAACAUGGGGCAGUAAAUUUCGAAAUAUGGAAGGUUGGUUCCGUGAUAUAUAUGAGUGUCUCUUCAGCUAGAAUGAGCCGUUUGUUUUAGUGAUAGAUAUUGUAGUUUGAGCUGUGAUAGAAUCCUUCUCAGGUUUAUAUGUCGUGGGCUAUCGUUUAUGAGAGACCAUGUGUUUCUAAAUGGUGAAGGUCAUGGCUGAUGGCAAAAGUAAAAGCAGUGGUGAUUCAUUAAAAAUAGUUAAUAGGGCCUGCGGCUGACAGGGAUAAAUCGGAACAUGUGGCUUGCUAACCCACCAGCACCUAAGAUGACAUUGUGUUUCUU